AUACCUCGACACAAUACCACCGCUUCCACGGUUCCUCGCCGCUUUCACAGGAGGACCAGUGUUCCCUCAGUCGGUCUGUCCUACAAGGCAGCAAAGCCUAGUCUGAAGGCAUUUGGCCUACAGCCUCAGAGGACAACCACGAGAACUCAUGACUCAUGUUACCAGCAUCUUCAACAUACAAGGCAACCCAGGCAGCAGUCUGGACAUUGGUCAACACUUGGCUUGUAAGGCCUAGGUGAGGCUUUUAGUUACGAUCUACAAGCUGCGAUGCCUGAGGAGCGACGCAUAAUGGUGAGCGGUAGCUACAUACCGUGAUAUCACUUCAUGCCUCCUUCAGUACCUCUACUUAUGUCGCCCAGAGCCAAACUCCCGAAUGCCUGACCAUGGGCCGUAUUGGUUUGCAGUCCUUGAUCACCUCAUUGUAACUUUGCUGUCACCACCGUGCUAUGCUGGAAAUGAGGCUUGGUAACCACCGGCUGCGCCAUCUGGUUCUGCCUACUCCGUCCGCUCUCCUCGACUUCAAUCUCCAAGGGGCCGAAUUGAGUCAUGCUGUUUCGUUCUUUGGCGCUUCCUAGCUGUCCUGUGGGGAGAGCGAUGGAAGGAAUGAAGGCCAGUGCCUACCAUUCCGCCUAAAACUCAACGAAGUGUUGCUGCAUACACCUGGUCCGUUGACAAAGCAAUGCGCAAUCUGCUUCGUUUUAUCUAAUCAACUCCGGAUAGUUAACUUGCACUCGAAAAACCAAGCUCUAUAUAAUCAGAUCUAUCCACUGCCGUCCUUACCAGAUCCGAUCUCUUUCUUUGUCUCGAGAAGCAAGUUCUUUUGAGUCUCUACAAGUUGAUCAGUAUCUUCCCGGCAAGUCUUCUUUUCCUCGUUAAACCACCAAAGUACGCCAAAGUGCCUUUCUGUCCGACGACCGAGAUGGGCGGCAACCAAGAGACAUAUAUUAGUAAUAGCGGGAGCCGGCCCCCCUGCUACAAUUCACGCACUACAUCACCAUCGUCGAGCAGUCACUCAAGGUCCUCAGCCAAUUCUGUUUUUUACAGGUCAGGCACUGCAGAUAAUCACAAUGUUACCACUCAAAAAAAGAGCGACGUUGUUGUUAUCAAUCACCACCAGCCGAAUCCAGCCAAGGACGAGCCUCGAUCGUCAGACUAUUAUAGAAGAUAGUAGUAGUACGGAUACAUCCGUGUCUAUUUCUUUCUAUGGAUUACCGCUUGGUGUCCAUGUCUCAGUAUGCAGGAAAUUGUACGAUAUCGUCCUGUAGCAUUACCAGACGUGGGGUUACUCUUGGGUUGUGGUCUUUCAUGAUGUUGACUGAAGUUUCCUCGUUAUGGCAGGAGUUAGUGUAGAGUAUUGGAUGAAUGAAGGAAGACGGUCAGUCACUUAGUAUUAGGUCGGUCUGCUGGUAGAAAAUGAAUUUCUUGCAUCUGU